CUGCCUGUAAGACUGGGAUAACUCCGGGAAACCGGAGCUAAUACCGGAUAGUUCCUUGAACCGCAUGGUUCAAGGAUGAAAGACGGUUUCGGCUGUCACUUACAGAUGGACCCGCGGCGCAUUAGCUAGUUGGUGAGGUAACGGCUCACCAAGGCGACGAUGCGUAGCCGACCUGAGAGGGUGAUCGGCCACACUGGGACUGAGACACGGCCCAGACUCCUACGGGAGGCAGCAGUAGGGAAUCUUCCGCAAUGGACGAAAGUCUGACGGAGCAACGCCGCGUGAGUGAUGAAGGUUUUCGGAUCGUAAAGCUCUGUUGUUAGGGAAGAACAAGUGCAAGAGUAACUGCUUGCACCAUGACGGUACCUAACCAGAAAGCCACGGCUAACUACGUGCCAGCAGCCGCGGUAAUACGUAGGUGGCAAGCGUUGUCCGGAAUUAUUGGGCGUAAAGGGCUCGCAGGCGGUUUCUUAAGUCUGAUGUGAAAGCCCCCGGCUCAACCGGGGAGGGUCAUUGGAAACUGGGAAACUUGAGUGCAGAAGAGGAGAGUGGAAUUCCACGUGUAGCGGUGAAAUGCGUAGAGAUGUGGAGGAACACCAGUGGCGAAGGCGACUCUCUGGUCUGUAACUGACGCUGAGGAGCGAAAGCGUGGGGAGCGAACAGGA
rnacentral:rRNA from 13 species